UUCCGGNUGAUCCCGCCGGAGGUUACUGCUUUCGGUGUUCGACUAAGCCAUGCAAGUCAUAUGUUCCUCGUGAACAUGGCAUACUGCUCAGUAACACGUGGAUAACCUGCCCUUGGGUCUGGGAUAACCCCGGGAAACUGGGGAUAAUACCGGAUGACGCAUAUGUGCUGGAAUGCUUUAUGCGUAAAACGGAUUCGUCCGCCCAAGGAUGGGUCUGCGGCCUAUCAGGUAGUAGUGGGUGUAAUGUACCUACUACCCAACAACGGGUACGGGUUGUGAGAGCAAGAGCCCGGAGAUGGAUUCUGAGACAUGAAUCCAGGCCCUACGGGGCGCAGCAGGCGCAAAAACUUUACAAUGCGGGAAACCGUGAUAAGGGAACACCGAGUGCCAGCAUCAUAUGCUGGCUGUCCAGAUGUGUAAACUACAUCUGUUAGCAAGGGCCGGGCAAGACCGGUGCCAGCCGCCGCGGUAACACCGGCGGCCCGAGUGGUGACCGUUAUUAUUGGGUCUAAAGGGUCCGUAGCCGGUUUGGUCAGUC
rnacentral:rRNA from 1 species